ACGGGAGGCAGCAGUGGGGACUAUUGCACAAUGGGCGCAAGCCUGAUGCAGCGAUGCCGCGUGAGGGAAGAAGGUUUUCGGAUUGUAAACCUCUGUCAACAGGGACGAAAAUGACGGUACCUGUGAAGGAAGCUCCGGCUAACUACGUGCCAGCAGCCGCGGUAAUACGUAGGGAGCAAGCGUUAUCCGGAAUUACUGGGUGUAAAGGGAGUGUAGGCGGGACUGUAAGUCAGAUGUGAAAUAUGCCGGCUCAACUGGCAGACUGCAUUUGAAACUGCGGUUCUUGAGUGAAGUAGAGGUAAGCGGAAUUCCUAGUGUAGCGGUGAAAUGCGUAGAUAUUAGGAGGAACAUCAGUGGCGAAGGCGGCUUACUGGGCUUUAACUGACGCUGAGGCUCAAAAGCGUGGGGAGCAAACAGGAUUAGAUACCCUGGUA
rnacentral:rRNA from 1 species